UUGACGGAGAGUUUGAUCCUGGCUCAGGACUAACGCUGGCGGCGCGCCUAACACAUGCAAGUCGAACGGGGCUCUUUACUUCGGUUUUGAGUCUAGUGGCAGACGGGUGAGUAACGCGUGGAUAACGUGCCCUCUUGCCGGGGAU
rnacentral:rRNA from 1 species